rnacentral:rRNA from 1 species
GACAGAGGGUGCAAGCGUUGUUCGGAAUCAUUGGGCGUAAAGCGCACGUAGGCGGCCUUGUAAGUCAGAUGUGAAAGCCCUGGGCUCAACCCAGGAAGUGCAUCUGAUACUGCAAGACUUGAGUCCCGGAGAGGGUGGUGGAAUUCCUGGUGUAGAGGUGAAAUUCGUAGAUAUCAGGAGGAACACCGGUGGCGAAGGCGACCACCUGGACGGAGACUGACGCUGAGGUGCGAAAGCGUGGGGAGCAAACAGGG